rnacentral:lncRNA from 1 species
CCCAUUUGUCCAGGGCAGGGAACAGGACAGGAGAGAGGAGGAAGCAAGAGGGUUAAGUCUGUCCAAGCCUUUCAGUGUGAUGAGACGAGGGUGGAGUGUCUGCCAAGAACAGGUCAGGUUCAAAACAGGAAACCCCAGGGUAGUGAUGGACACUUCUCUGUCGAUUUUACGUGGAUCUCUAGGGAAAGUGCUGGAACUGAUCUCAUUCAAUAUAUAUAUAUAGUUUUACAACUCAGAUUGAAGAGGAAGUGCACAAUGAGCUCUGCAGCUUUGCCAGCGAUGCUGAUCUCUUCCAGGUGCUGAAACGCUAAGAUGCAGUCUUGGUGGCUCACGCCUGUAACCCCAGCACACUGGGAGGCCAAGAAUUUCUUACCGAGACCUUUGAAAGUAUAUUUCAGACAUCAGGACACUUCAUUCACGUUGUGGUUACACUGUGUCCCAAUAAAAGAAACGUUGACGUCCUGGCCCCUGGUACCUUGAAUGUGACCUUAGUGGUAAAUAGGGUCUUUGCAGAGGUACUCAAAAUGAAGUCAUGCUGGAUUAGAGUGGGCCCUACAUCCAAUAACUGCCAUCCUUAUAAGGGAGAGAGAGAUUUGAAGACACGGAGAGACACACAGGGAAAAAGGCUACCUGACUGUGGAGACAGAGAUUGAAGUUUAUGUUGUCACCAACCAAGGAACGCCAAGGAUUGCCAGUAACUACCAGAGGCUGGAAGAGGCAAGGAAGACUCCUCCCUAGUCCUUCAGGCAGAGCAUGGCCCCACGAGCCCUUGAUUUUGGACUUGAAUUGUGACAGACCAAAUUUCUGUGUUGCAAACUAUCCUGCUUGUGGCAAUUUAUUACCGUAGCCCUAGGAAACUAAUACAACUCCUCAAUACAGGUGUUACCUAAAUGUGGGCAUUUAAUGGGACUCACGUAUUCUCCCCAUAACCAAUAUCAUUAGCACACCUAAGAAAAUUAACAAUAAUUUUAUGAUAUCCAAUCCAUACUCAAAUAUAUCCAAUUGUUCUCAAAAUAUCUUUUAUAGAUUUUUUUUUCCUUUUUUUUUGAUCCAGGAUCCAAUCAAAGUAUCUUACACGCAUUUGAU